rnacentral:rRNA from 1 species
GAGUUUGAUCGUGGCUCAGGAUGAACGCUAGCGGCAGGCUUAACACAUGCAAGUCGAGGGGUAGAGUUAGCUUGCUAACUUGAGACCGGCGCACGGGUGCGUAACGCGUAUGCAAUCUACCUUGUACAGAGGGAUAGCCCAGAGAAAUUUGGAUUAAUACCUCAUAGUGUAACGAAAAGGCAUCUUUUUGUUACUAAAGUUCCAACGGUACAAGAUGAGCAUGCGUCCCAUUAGCUAGAUGGUAAGGUAACGGCUUACCAUGGCAACGAUGGGUAGGGGUCCUGAGAGGGAGAUCCCCCACACUGGUACUGAGACACGGACCAGACUCCUACGGGAGGCAGCAGUGAGGAAUAUUGGUCAAUGGGCGCAAGCCUGAACCAGCCAUGCCGCGUGCAGGAUGACGGUCCUAUGGAUUGUAAACUGCUUUUGUACAGGAAGAAACACUCCCUCGUGAGGGAACUUGACGGUACUGUAAGAAUAAGGAUCGGCUAACUCCGUGCCAGCCGCGCAGUAA